ensembl:lncRNA
GAUAGUUUUGUUCAAUUAAAUCAUUUGAGAUAGUCAAAUUGUCAAAACGAUCUAUAAUUGUGGGUAAAAGCGCGAGUAGCGCAACAUAAUUAUUUUUUAUAUAUAUGCGCAUUGUUUACGAUGUCCGUCAGAGUGUCUGUCUGUCCUCUGUGGUGUCGCUCACUUUUCACUUGACAUUUCAUGACAUUGCAUAUUUCACGCCGGAGCCGCAAACCUCCUUUGCAUAAGAUGGCGGCCCCUCGGGAGCCCCGGCGACGCAGCGCGUUCUAAAGGACACGGUAAUGGCUGCCGUCUAGGUGGGCCUCGCCGACGAGGCGCCGAUCGCCGAGGAGAACAGGGAGAACACGUCCCCGAGCCGUCAUCGCUCACCGGUGAAGACGCCUCCUCUCAAGGGCAGCUACAAAGACAGGCAGGGGCAGGAACUAAGUUGGGCUGUUUGGGUGUCGUAGCGAAAUUGGGAGGGAAAGGGUCGGUUGGAGGAUCUAACCUAGUAGUGGGAGAGGUGGUGGUGGUUCUGGUGGGGAUAGGAGUGGGGCUGAUGAUAGGGGAGUUUGUCCUGGUGUAUUGGAGUUUGUCGUGGUGAUGGUUGUGGUGAUGGUGCAGGUGGUGGUGGUGGUGAUAGUGGGGUUUGUCCUGGUGAUAGGGGAGUUUGUCCUGGUGUAUUGGAGUUUGUCGUGGUGAUAGGGAGUUUGUCCUGGUGAUAGGGGAGUUUGUCCUGGUGUUUUGGAGUUUGUCGUGGUGAUGGUUGUGGUGGUGGUGGUGGAGGUGGUGGGGAUGACAGAGAUGGCGAAGGUGGAGGUCGUCGUGGUGAUAGGGGAGGUCAUAGUUGAGUUGGUGAGAGUGGAGCAGAGGGAGAGGAGGGGAGGAGGGAGAGUAGGGAGAGAGGAGGGAGAGGAGGGAGAG